AUACAUACAGAUUCUCUUAAUAAAUAUCAUAGAAGGUUGGUGAUGGGUCAUGGUCCUGGUUUAUGCGACUGCUUCUCAAACUGUGGUUCUUGUAUCAACUCAUUUUCCCUCUUCCAUUAUCUUUAACCAUAUCAUAUACUUAGUUUAUUUGUUUCAUAAUUAUCAAACAUAUUAAGCUACCUUCAUUUUAUGCUCUUUAGUCUCUUAUCUGCAGGUUGUCUCACUCUUUGUCCAAUAAGUUCUCGAGGCCUUGAAGUUGUGUUACAGAGUACAUGAACAAAAUCACUUCUGUUAAAGCACAAUUUUGGCUCACUCUUUGUGGGAAAAUUGACCUACUCAGGCAAAAAACAUGUAUGCUUUGAAUAUAAAUCACAAAUUUAUGUUGAUGGAGCUAUUAAAAAUUAACAUGAAAUUUAGUUACAUUGCAUCUGACAUAUAUAUAUAUAUGGCUUAGUUAUGGGAUGAUACAUUUCAACUAAUAUCAACAUCACACAGUCUUUUUAUGCUUUUAAAAUUAAAUUGGAGUAGAGCUUUUUCAUAGGUCAAGGUGCUAAGUUUGGAUACCUUGCCUUCAAUUCUUACAUCUUCUCCUUUACUUUACCUUAUGAUUCUAACUUGCUUAUGUUUUAUGAUGCAG
rnacentral:lncRNA from 1 species